CGAGAGUGGUUUAACGAAAAGCUACAACUGAAAACGUGUGAAUUUUGAUGUCUAUAUGAACUUCUAAAUAAUAUCGCUAAGAUGACUUUGUGAAACUCGUUCGAAAAAAGAGUGACAACAGUUAUUGCGUGAAUUUCAGUGUAAUAUGCAAAUAUUGGCCACAGAACGCCAUAUUUGAAAGCCCCG